CUAAGCAGUCAGUGGAUGCGGGGAGUCAUAGACAGCAGGGGGAGGAAAAUGACAGCUGACGAGUCGGCGAGCUGGCGAAUUUGUUGAUGCAAUUCUCCCCUCCGAUGGUUGCUAUCGUUUCCAUAGUGUUUAUUAUUACGCUUUGAAAAUUGAAAAGGAGUAGAAAAUUUCUGGACACAAACUACAGUUUGAGAGUACAGGCUGCCGUUUUUUAUCAAUGAGAUCCAAUAUUGGAAACCAAUUAAAUUGCCCAUUUUAAAGUGAAAACAGAUGGUUUGUGUAACAUAUCUCAAGACUGCUCUGCCUACAUUUUUGUCUUGAUAAGACUCUGCUUUACAGCGUGCAUUUCAAAGAUGGGAAUUGAAUCGAACGAAGCUUUGGAUAUCAUGGAGGAUUGUGUUAUUUCUACGAUAUUAAAUUUACAUUAAUUUGUUUAUGUUUGGAGAGAAAUAAACUAGAAGAUUCUGGUAUUGUGUUCAUUACUACAUUCAUCAAAGUCAAAAAGUUGAUAAAAGAUCUUUCAUCCCUCUAUGUUCUUUUUCGCGGUACAAUCGACAAAAGUAAAACCAUUUAUUUCUAUUUAAAUCGCAUGCGCCUUUUCCCAAUGUGAUUCUCAAAUUAUCACCGUCACCAACAAUUUGCCUUUGUUUUUACGGGUGAACUGGUUCAAACCCAUUUCGGGUUUUCUUUGGAUAAAUGUCGUCACCGGUUAACAUAAAGUUUUACACUUGGUUGUUGAAUGACGUUUUCGAAACGAAAUAAAAAAUGAGGGGAAAAGGUUGCUAGGAUCUCAAGGCUCGCUAGCCUGAUGGAGCAACAUAAACUCGCCAGCUGUCAGAUUGUUUCCCAAAAUGGCGGAUUGUGCUAAGUGACACAUUGAAUUACCUCCC